rnacentral:rRNA from 1 species
GCCCAGCUUGCUGGGCGGAUUAGUGGCGAACGGGUGAGUAAUACGUGAGUAACCUGCCCUUGACUCUGGGAUAAGCCUGGGAAACUGGGUCUAAUACUGGAUACUACCGUCCACCGCAUGGUGGGUGGUGGAAAGGGUUUUACUGGUUUUGGAUGGGCUCACGGCCUAUCAGCUUGUUGGUGGGGUAAUGGCUCACCAAGGCGACGACGGGUAGCCGGCCUGAGAGGGUGACCGGCCACACUGGGACUGAGACACGGCCCAGACUCCUACGGGAGGCAGCAGUGGGGAAUAUUGCACAAUGGGCGGAAGCCUGAUGCAGCGACGCCGCGUGAGGGAUGACGGCCUUCGGGUUGUAAACCUCUUUCAGUAGGGAAGAAGCGAGAGUGACGGUACCUGCAGAAGAAGCGCCGGCUAACUACGUGCCAGCAGCCGCGGUAAUACGUAGGGCGCAAGCGUUGUCCGGAAUUAUUGGGCGUAAAGAGCUCGUAGGCGGUUUGUCGCGUCUGCUGUGAAAGCCCGGGGCUCAACCCCGGGUCUGCAGUGGGUACGGGCAGACUAGAGUGCAGUAGGGGAGACUGGAAUUCCUGGUGUAGCGGUGAAAUGCGCAGAUAUCAGGAGGAACACCGAUGGCGAAGGCAGGUCUCUGGGCUGUUACUGACGCUGAGGAGCGAAAGCAUGGGGAGCGAACAGGAUUAGAUACCCUGGUAGUCCAUGCCGUAAACGUUGGGCACUAGGUGUGGGGGACAUUCCACGUUUUCCGCGCCGUAGCUAACGCAUUAAGUGCCCCGCCUGGGGAGUACGGCCGCAAGGCUAAAACUCAAAGGAAUUGACGGGGGCCCGCACAAGCGGCGGAGCAUGCGGAUUAAUUCGAUGCAACGCGAAGAACCUUACCAAGGCUUGACAUUCACCGGACCGCCCCAGAGAUGGGGUUUCCCUUCGGGGCUGGUGGACAGGUGGUGCAUGGUUGUCGUCAGCUCGUGUCGUGAGAUGUUGGGUUAAGUCCCGCAACGAGCGCAACCCUCGUUCUAUGUUGCCAGCACGUGAUGGUGGGGACUCAUAGGAGACUGCCGGGGUCAACUCGGAGGAAGGUGGGGAUGACGUCAAAUCAUCAUGCCCCUUAUGUCUUGGGCUUCACGCAUGCUACAAUGGCCGGUACAAAGGGUUGCGAUACUGUGAGGUGGAGCUAAUCCCAAAAAGCCGGUCUCAGUUCGGAUUGAGGUCUGCAACUCGACCUCAUGUACGUCGGGAGUCGCUAGUAAUCGCAGAUCAGCAACGCUGCGGUGAAUAC